GUUUUCAGUGUAUCGAUUAUGAAGUCCCGCUGACCAAGAUAUGGAGUUAUCACUGAUAAAUUCAUAGUUUGGAUACUUGGAUUUGGCUUCUUGCAAUAAUGAAGGGUCAUCUGUAGCCAAAUAUACUCUCUUUUUAUCAACAUGCAUUCUACGAGCAAGAAGUUCAAACCGCUCUUCAACAUGCACCAUAUAUUCUUCAAUGGGAUGAAAUGCUGCCUCUGUUCCUACUUUGUCUGUCCUCCGAACAUGAACACCAAUCACAGGAUGCUUGAAACCAAGUUUCCUUGUGGCUUCCUCUAUUUCUUUUUCUAGCCAAGGCUGUGGACGAAUCAAGUAUUUGACAAACUGUGAGACCCACCAUACUGCAGGAUCCCCAUGUACACGAAUUAGCCUAUCAGCCAGGUCUUCGGGAACAGCCAAUGGUAAAUAAGGUGGCCGUGGAUGUAAACUGUCAACAAUAGGGAGCUCCACCACCUGUACAUCCUUAUCAUUAGUCUCACCUGACCAGUGUCCAGUGGUUGUACCAGAUCUGUCAGUACAGGUCUCGCUUACAGGUCUAAAUACAGUUUCCCAGC
rnacentral:lncRNA from 1 species